rnacentral:rRNA from 1 species
UACGGGGGGAGCAAGCGUUGUUCGGAUUUACUGGGCGUAAAGGGCGCGUAGGCGGUCACGACAAGUCAGUUGUGAAAUCUCCGGGCUUAACUCGGAACGGUCAACUGAUACUGUGCGACUAGAGUGCAGAAGGGGCAACUGGAAUUCUCGGUGUAGCGGUGAAAUGCGUAGAUAUCGAGAGGAACACCUGCGGCGAAGGCGGGUUGCUGGGCUGACACUGACGCUGAGGCGCGAAAGCCAGGGGAGCGAACGGG